AAUACAAAAAGUGUAAACCAGAGCCCUGUUGAAACUGAAGCUUGUGAACAAUUGCUACAUCGAGUACCCAUACAAUCUAAAAUGACAGGACACAAAUACGCGGUCUAUCAGAGAGAAUAUCUUUCGUUUUUAAAAAUAAAUAAUACUAACAUGUCAAAGAAGGUUUGUAAAUAAUGUACACAGAAACAAGAUACAGACACAACAACGCCAGUGUGUUUCCUCCAUGGGAACACCACAAAUGACAAACCAUAAUACACUGCAUACUUGCAGUUCAAUGGGGCCUUGCUUGAUCUAGCAGAGCUUAAAUUCAAUAACAACUUCGUAGCUUUGAGCAAGCAGUAGUCCCAGCUCAGGUCACCCCUGUGCCACUAGGUGAUCAGCUCUUCUGAUGAACGGCGAUGUGGUGAAUGUCCAUCUCCUUCAGCAUGACUGACCGCCCACAAGAGUCACAUGGUGCGGUCCUGGAUCCACAAAUACUCUCAUGCUCACACAUAUUUCGGAGUCGGUCACGAGCAUCAACUGGUUCUCCACCAGCAUGAACUG